UACAGAGGGGGCGAGCGUUGUUCGGAAUUACUGGGCGUAAAGGGCGCGUAGGCGGCCUCUUAAGUCGAACGUGAAAUCCCCGGGCUCAACCCGGGAACUGCGUCCGAUACUGGCAGGCUUGAAUCCGGGAGAGGGAUGCGGAAUUCCAGGUGUAGCGGUGAAAUGCGUAGAUAUCUGGAGGAACACCGGUGGCGAAGGCGGCAUCCUGGACCGGCAUUGACGCUGAGGCGCGAAAGCCAGGGGAGCAAACGGG
rnacentral:rRNA from 1 species